rnacentral:rRNA from 1 species
GACGAACGCUGGCGGCGUGCUUAACACAUGCAAGUCGAGCGGUAAGGCCCUUUCGGGGGUACACGAGCGGCGAACGGGUGAGUAACACGUGGGUGACCUGCCCUCAGCUCUGGGAUAAGCCUGGGAAACUGGGUCUAAUACUGGAUAUGACUCCACGGUGCAUGUCGGUGGGGUGGAAAGCCUUGUGCGGCUGAGGAUGGGCCCGCGGCCUAUCAGCUUGUUGGUGGGGUGANGGCCUACCAAGGCGACGACGGGUAGCCGGCCUGAGAGGGCGACCGGCCACACUGGGACUGAGACACGGCCCAGACUCCUACGGGAGGCAGCAGUGGGGAAUCUUGCGCAAGUGGGCGAAAGCCUGACGCAGCGACGCCGCGUGAGGGAUGACGGCCU